rnacentral:rRNA from 1 species
AGUGAACGCUGGCGGUAGGCCUAACACAUGCAAGUCGAACGGCAGCACAGUAAGAGCUUUCUCUUACUGGUGGCGAGUGGCGGACGGGUAAGGCAUACAUCGGAUUCUACUUUUUCUUGGGGGAUAACGUAGGGAAGCUUCCGCUAAUACCGCAUACUACCUACGGGUGAAAGCAGGAGAUCUUCGGACCUUGCGCGAUUGAAUGAGCCGAUGUCGGAUUAGCUAGUUGGCGGGGUAACGGCCCACCAAGGCGACGAUCCGUAGCUGGUCUGAGAGGAUGAUCAGCCACACUGGAACUGAGACACGGUCCAGACUCCUACGAGAGGCAGCAGUGGGGAAUAUUGGACAAUGGGCGCAAGCCUGAUCCAGCAAUACCGCGUGGGUGAAGAAGGCCUUCGGGUUGUAAAGCCCUUUUGUUGGGAAAGAAAAGCAGCAGGUUAAUACCCCGCUGUUCUGACGGUACCCAAAGAAUAAGCACCGGCUAACUUCGUG